UGAACUUUUCCACAAAUUCAAUGAUCAUUUGAAGAAUUGACUCAUAAUAGGAGAGACAAAAGAACAAUACGACGACAAGUGUCAUCACCGCAAAAAUCAGAAUUUAAAAGUUUUUAAAAUCAAAAAAAAAAAUACAGCAGUUAAAAAAAAACUGCAAUGAGUAAAUUACUCAGCAAAAUAAAAAAAAAAUAAAGAAAAAUGCAAGGAGCGUAUGAAAAUAAAAAAAUUCCAAACCUGCAAGUUAACUUCCCACAUCCCAAACCCCAGAAAUUAACUUUCAGUUUCAACCGUCAAAGCCUCUCUCACUAUCGCUAUUGAAGUAGAUAGAAAAGCUAUUCAGUUUCUGUCUCUUUUUAUUCACUACUGAUCUUUGAUUUGAUCGGUGAACCAGAGUCGUGGCUAGCUAGAGGGAAGUAAAAAUGUCAAUCUCUUUUACCGGUGAAAUUGAAUGUUGAACUAGAGUAUCAGAACCCAAUUAGCCUUGGCACUUUCUCACGAAAUCAGGGGGACAAACUUUAUGUACUACACUAAUUUUGAGCUAAGCACAUAUAAGGGGGAAUGAAGCUCCGAGGCUGAAUGGAGGAUAUGAGGCGGCAAUCAGAUGAAAAUGGCAAGGCAACAAUAAUAUAAAUUACUGUGUGGCCAUAGUGAGGUUGAAUCGAGCUCUUGCAAGAAUGAGUUUCUCCCAAGUUGCAAAUGAGGAUCGCGUCUUGGAAGCAAUUAGGCUCUUCAAAGGUUCCACAAAUGAUGCAGCACGAUCUGGAAUUAAUCAACACAUAAACCUUACUUUUGAGAUGGGUAAUGAGAUAAAGGUUUUGACUUUGUGCAACCAAUACUCACAAAGUUUCCAGCUAUAUGUCCUGUCAGUCACAGUUUUAAUAAAGUUAAUUUUUUAUGGAUGAAUAGUAAGCUGAAGCCCAAAUUAAGAUAAGAAUGGGUAUUGGUAGCCACAUAUCAGAGAGAUGGCUAAUUGAUGAGCUGACCAGGAUAGGCAUGAAUGAAUCAAUUGUAAGAGGAGCACCGAUAUUUAUGCAUCAACAAGAUGAAGUGGAAGUACAAACGAGAUUGGAAAGUCAUAGUUCGAAAAGCCUAAUGAUCGUACUACUUUGUAGAUUUCUAAGCAAACUUUCAGCAAGUUAAUUCCACAAGGACACUAUGCCCACUCAAUAGUCAAAUCCCAUGUAACUUGAUGAUAUGAUGCCCUCACCGAAAUCAAGCAGAAAUAUUUAAAUUGCGGAUUUAGUGUUGUGAUACUGCCACACAACACCCAUAUACAUUAGUUUGUAUUGAUUAUUGAACUGAAGUGUCUAAAGGUAGAAAUGCACAUCCAUUCGUGUCAAAUGGUUUGAACGAUUUUGAGUCAUCAAAUAUAUUUUAUCUGUCUAACCACACCGCAUGCUUAUGUAUUUACACUUUUUCUUAGGAAUUGAAUUUUUAUAUAAUUGUGUUUCAUAGUAAACUUUGUUACAAUGGACACUUAAGUUCUUUGGUGUAGCUUAUUUGGGACUGGUGUGCGAGCAACAGUAACUGUGCUAUUUGGAGGUGAGCACUUCAGAAUGGUCCAAAAAAUUGAGAGUAAAAAUUUCGCAAUAUGUAACACAUGGUUCAUAUACAUAUAUUUCUAUUUUAUCUCUCCACUUUUUUUAAA